CCCGNCUGCUAUCAGAGUGGGACUAAGCCAUGCGAGUCAACAUAGCAAUAUGUGGCAUACGGCUCAGUAACACGUAGUCAACAUGCCCAGGGGACGUGGAUAACCUCGGGAAACUGAGGAUAAACCGCGAUAAGUCACUACUUCUGGAAUGGGUAAUGACUAAAAUCUACAUGGCCCCUGGAUUGGACUGCGGCCGAUCAGGCUGUUGGUGAGGUAAUGGCCCACCAAACCUGUAACCGGUACGGGCUCUGAGAGGAGGAGCCCGGAGAUGGGCACUGAGACAAGGGCCCAGGCCCUAUGGGGCGCAGCAGGCGCGAAACCUCUGCAAUAGGCGAAAGCCUGACAGGGUUACUCUGAGUGAUUUCCGUUAAGGAGAUCUUUUGGCACCUCUAAAAAUGGUGCAGAAUAAGGGGUGGGCAAGUCUGGUGUCAGCCGCCGCGGUAAUACCAGCACCCCGAGUGGUCGGGACGUUUAUUGGGCCUAAAGCUCCGUAGCCGGUUCUACAAGUCUUCCGUUAAAUCCACCUGCUUAACAGAUGGGCUGCGGAAGAUACUAUAGAGCUAGGAGGCGGGAGAGGCAAGCGGUACUCGAUGGGUAGGGGUAAAAUCCGUUGAUCCAUUGAAGACCACCAGUGGCGAAGGCGGCUUGCCAGAACGCGCUCGACGGUGAGGGAUGAAAGCUGGGGGAGCAAACCGGAUUAGAUACCCGGGUAGUCCCAGCUGUAAACGAUGCAGACUCGGUGAUGAGUUGGCUUUUUGCCAACUCAGUGCCGCAGGGAAGCCGUUAAGUUUGCCGCCUGGGGAG
rnacentral:rRNA from 1 species